UACAAUAUACUAGUUUGUUGCAUGCAUUUGCAGCAUUUCAUUUGAUAUUUUCAGUAUUUAGAAACAAAUUAAUUGAAUUAAAUUCAAAAGUAUUAAAGUAGAACUGUCAUGAUGUCAUCUUUGAAUUUUGUGAAAUGACGUACAAUAUCGGUAUCGGCAAAAUAUUGGUCCUUCAAUAUCGGAAUAUCGGUGAACUUCCAUAUCGGUGCAUCACUAAAUUUUACUUAAUUCUGCUUCUGAGAGGCAGAUUUGAACACUUAUUAAGAUUUUCAAGGAACAGCUAGCCUAAUUCAAGGGCAAGGGACGGUUGCACGAAGACCAGAUACAGUAGCGCUAUCUACCACGGACAGUGAUUUUUCAACCCUUGUAAAAAUUCGUGAAAAGCUGUAAAACUACGGAUGUGGGCCUCACAAUGAAUAAAAAAAGUUUAAUUUACAAAUACUAGAGUUCAAGCUGAGUUCUACCAAAUCAACGGACAAUUUUAAAACCCUGGAAAAAUCACUAUCCGCUGGAUAGCGCUAUUUGACCUUCGUACAGUAUGUGUUGAACCAGCCCCAGGUCACGAGAUACAGACGUUGAACUGGCAAUACAAUUAAGUAACAAUAUAUAGCAUUUGACAUUUGUAUAUUCAUAAAUUUCAUGUAGUUUUAAAAGCAGUUACUGUUAAAAUUUUGAGAAGUGUAACAAUAUAUAGCUAGCACUAGUUGCAUAUUCAUAAAUUUGUGGUUUUAAAAGCAGUUACUGUCAAAAUUUUGUGAUGUGUUUAUUUGUCCAUUAAAGUUAAAAACA